AGAGCGAACGCUGGCGGCAGGCCUAACACAUGCAAGUCGAACGGACCCUUCGGGGUUAGUGGCGGACGGGUGAGUAACACGUGGGAACGUGCCUUUUGGUUCGGAAUAGCUCCUGGAAACGGGUGGUAAUGCCGAAUGUGCCCUUCGGGGGAAAGAUUUAUCGCCAUUAGAGCGGCCCGCGUCUGAUUAGCUAGUUGGUGAGGUAAUGGCUCACCAAGGCGACGAUCAGUAGCUGGUCUGAGAGGAUGACCAGCCACAUUGGGACUGAGACACGGCCCAAACUCCUACGGGAGGCAGCAGUGGGGAAUCUUGCGCAAUGGGCGAAAGCCUGACGCAGCCAUGCCGCGUGAAUGAUGGAGGUCUUAGGAUUGUAAAAUUCUUUACACCGGGGACGAUAAUGACGGUACCCGGAGAAGAAGCCCCGGCUAACUUCGUGCCAGCAGCCGC
rnacentral:rRNA from 1 species